GGCAAGACUGUUUCAAAGACUGAAUGGGAUUAAUUGACAUCUAUGAGACAUGGCAGCAACUCAUCCUCAAGAAAAGUGUUUUAUCACAGGCUCAAGAAAAACAAUAACAGGAUUCAUGACAAACUGAAAUGAUGCCAAGCAACAAUUAGAAAAGCUUCCUCCUCGUGCAAUAAAGGAGAUCAGUCUGUUCGGGAGCGCCUUCUUCUUGAUGAGAGCCUGUCUCUGGGAAAGGGAUUGAGCUUCAAGGAAUACAUAAAAGAAAGUAGUAAAAAAACACAACACAGCCCGGUGCAGUGCCACCUCGUCCCCCGUGACUGGCAGGACCCUCGCCCAGCAGCAGCCUCCGGUGUCCAAGCACCCGAUCUCAAGGAGAGGGUUUGUGAGUGA
rnacentral:lncRNA from 1 species